rnacentral:rRNA from 1 species
AUUGAACGCUGGCGGCAUGCUUUACACAUGCAAGUCGAACGGCAGCGCGGGCUUCGGCCUGGCGGCGAGUGGCGAACGGGUGAGUAAUAUAUCGGAACGUACCCAGGGGUGGGGGAUAACGUAGCGAAAGUUACGCUAAUACCGCAUACGCUCUAUGGAGGAAAGCAGGGGAUCGCAAGACCUUGCGCGCUUGGAGCGGCCGAUAUCUGAUUAGCUAGUUGGUGGGGUAAAGGCUCACCAAGGCAACGAUCAGUAGCUGGUCUGAGAGGACGACGAGCCACACGGGGACAGAGACACGGGCCAGACUCCGACGGGAGGCAGCAGUGGGGAAUGUUGGAAAAUGGACGCAAGCAUGAUGCAGCCAUGCCGCGUGCGGGAAGAAGGCCUUCGGGUUGUAAACCGCUUUUGUCAGGGAAGAAAAGGCUCCUGUUAAUACCGGGGGCUCAUGACGGUACCUGAAGAAUAAGCACCGGCUAACUACGUGCCAGCCGCCGCCGUAACAC